CCUACGGGUCGCACCAGUGGGGAAUAUUGCACAAUGGGCGCAAGCCUGAUGCAGCCAUGCCGCGUGUAUGAAGAAGGCCUUCGGGUUGUAAAGUACUUUCAGCGGGGAGGAAGGUGUUGAGGUUAAUAACCUCAGCAAUUGACGUUACCCGCAGAAUGAAGCACCGGCUAACUCCGUGCCAGCAGCCGCGGUAAUACGGAGGGUGCAAGCGUUAAUCGGAAUUACUGGGCGUAAAGCGCACGCAGGCCGUCUGUCAAGUCGGAUGUGAAAUCCCCGGGCUCAACCUGGGAACUGCAUUCGAAACUGGCAGGCUAGAGUCUUGUAGAGGGGGGUAGAAUUCCAGGUGUAGCGGUGAAAUGCGUAGAGAUCUGGAGGAAUACCGGUGGCGAAGGCGGCCCCCUGGACAAAGACUGACGCUCAGGUGCGAAAGCGUGGGGGGCAAACAGGAUUAGAUACCCGCGUAGUC
rnacentral:rRNA from 1 species